rnacentral:lncRNA from 1 species
GGAUCUCCUGAACUGGAAGAUAACUCCUGUGUGUUUGUGUGUGUGUAUAUGUCUGUAGUAUGUGUGUGUGUCUGUGGUAUGUGUGUGUGUCUGUGGUGUGUGUGUGUGUCUGUGGUGUGUGUGUGUGUCUGUGGUAUGUGUGUAUGUCUGUGGUAUGUGUGUGUGUCUGUGGUAUGUGUGUGUGUGUGUCUGUGGUGUGUGUGUGUGUCUGUGGUAUGUGUGUGUGUCUGUGGUAUGUGUGUGUGUAUCUGUGGCAUGUGUGUGUGAGAUCCAGAGAACCACUUUAACAACUGCACUGCAUCUGUAGCACCCACCUUAUCCUCAACUUUAAAUGUGCUCAGAAUCCUUUCCUCAUCAAGCCUACAUUUCUUGUGUUUUUCUGCUGUCUGUUGCUCUCUUGUUGUAGCCCCGGGGAAGAGUAGGAAGCGGUGGCCACAAGGCAGCCUGAAUGCUGGUUUAUCACUUUGGAAUUCAGCUCCACUCAAGCUUUUCAGGAGAUGGGCAGAAGGCAGCAGCAGAGUCUUUUCCAAACUGUAACACGAGUGCCCGUAGUCGGAUUUCCAAGCCUGUCUGAACCUUGGGAACCUGGGGCUCCAUGUCUCUCUCAGCACUCUGGACUUCUGAACUCCUACCAGAAUAUCUCUUUAAGCCCUAAUUACAGCAUCCACAGCUUCUCUGACCU